rnacentral:lncRNA from 1 species
CUUUUUAAAAAAUACAUAACAAGAAUCUCAUGGAGACAAUGGCACCUGCUUCAUAGGGUUGCUAUGGGUAUAUAGGGUAAUACCCUAUAUAUAGGGUAGAUGGAAUGAGAUCACAUGCAUAAAGCAUGUGGCACAGUAGGUCUUAUUUUAUUUUUUAGAGUAAGAUCUACUUUUAGUGUGGGACUUGAACUCCCAACCCUGAGAUCAGGAGUCACAGGCUCCCCCAACUGAGCCAACCAGGCACCCCUUGGUAGCACAUUAUUUAAAUAUGGUAUAGAGAAGAAAUGCCAGCUAUAAUCUCUAUAAUUCCUAGUUGUACUAAUUGUUUUACUACACAUUGAUUUUUUUUUGAAAGAUUGAUUUAUUUUAGAGGGGAGGGGCAGAGGAGUGGGAGAGAAUCUCCAAGGCAUCCUCGCUGAGCUCAGCGCCCUAUGUAGGGCUCCAUCCCGGUCCCCCGAGAUCAAGACUCGAGCUGAACCCAAGAGUUCGACGCUUCAGCAACGGAGCCGCCCAGGCGCCCCAUGCCGCUGAGUGAUGCUAAUGGUGUCUACUUCCCUAAGUUUUUCUGGAGAGUUCUGUGGUCCUAUCUUCGUGCCGCCCGUGGAGUGAUGAAGCUCCUCUUUAUCCCAGUUCNCCCAGAGUGGGCAGCGCUGAGUUGGAGGCAGCACCGGGCGGUGGGGAAACAAAGAAGGAGCGAGUCAGAUAUGCAAGAUUUAUUUUUAGAGGUUUUUUUUUCCCCGCCUUAAUCCCAACAUUCUUCAACUAAUUUGGAAAUCUUUCUUCUCUGCUGUAAGUUUUUCUGGAGAGUUCUGUGGUCCUAUCUUCGUGCCGCCCGUGGAGUGAUGAAGCUCCUCUUUAUCCCAGUUCACCGGAGGCAGCAGAACGAAGGGAAGGUUCUCUGGAACCCGGUGUGUACGCAACAAGGGAGCAGAGAGAGGCGAAAACCUGCCAUGACAAAAAUGUAAAGUUUUGUACUGGAAUGUGUCUCCUUUCCUUCGGAGAGGAGGUCGGAGUGUAACAGCCACGCCAGGAGCUGCUUCGGAAAAUGGGGCUGCAUACGUUAUGAGAGCAGCUGCACAGAUCUUUUUUUUUGAAAAACCCGGCUAAUAAAGCAAACAGCACAGCUGGUUGUUUUUAAAUU